GGGGGGGGUAAUUUUCUCCUAAGGCUAAAUAACGGCGAGAGACCGAUAGCGAACAAGUACCGUGAGGGAAAGAUGAAAAGAACUUUGAAAAGAGAGUUAAACAGUACGUGAAAUUGUUGAAAGGGAAACGAUUGAAGCCAGUCGUACCUUCGGGUAAUCAGCCUUUUGGGUGCGAUUCUGUGGAGUUUGAGGAGCUUAACGCCUUCAUGCUUUGCGAUAUUGGGAUCUUUUGGGUGUACUUGCCCCUAUGUGGUGGUUAACCUCCAUUUUGGAGGGUCUAAAAUGACUGGGAGGAAUGUGCUUUCGAUAAAA
rnacentral:rRNA from 1 species